rnacentral:misc_RNA from 1 species
GUAGGUGAACCUGCGGAGGGAUCAUUACAGAGUUCAUGCCCUACCGGGUAGAUCUCCCACCCUAUGUUAUUAUUACUUUGUUGCUUUGGCGGGCCGUUAGGCUCCGGCCCGACUACCGGCCCCGGCUGGUAAGCGCCCGCCAGAGGACCCAAAACCCUGAAUAUUAGUGUCGUCUGAGUACUAUAUAAUAGUUAAAACUUUCAACAACGGAUCUCUUGGUUCUGGCAUCGAUGAAGAACGCAGCAUCUGA